GAUGAACGCUGGCGGCGUGCCUAAUACAUGCAAGUCGAGCGGAGCGGCGGACGGGUGAGUAAUGCCUAGGAAUCUGCCUGGUAGUGGGGGAUAACGUCCGGACACGGGCGCUAAUACCGCAUACUCUCAGCUGAGCCUAGGUCGGAUUAGCUAGUUGGUGGGGUAAAGGACUACAAAGGCGACGAUCCGUAACUGGUCUGAGCGGAUGAUCAGUCAAACUGGAACUGAGAAACGGUCCAGACUCCUACGGGAGGCAGCAGUGGGGAAUAUUGGACAAUGGGCGAAAGCCUGAUCCAGCCAGGCCGCGUGUGUGAAGAAGGUCUUCGGAUUGUAAAGCACGUUAAGUUGGGAGGCGUUACCAACAGAAUAAGCACCGGCUAACUUCGUGCCAGCAGCCGCGGUAAUUC
rnacentral:rRNA from 1 species